rnacentral:rRNA from 1 species
AGCAGCCGCGGUAAUUCCAGCUCCAAUAGCGUAUAUUAAAGUUGUUGCAGUUAAAAAGCUCGUAGUUGAAUUUCGGGGUCAGCAGGUUGGUCGUGCCUAUGGUAUGCACUGGCUUCGCUGAUCUCUCCUUUCUGAAGAACUGUAAUGCCAUUAAUUUGGUGUUGCAGGGACACAGGACUGUUACUUUGAAAAAAUUAGAGUGUUUAAAGCAGGCUAACGCUUGAAUACAUUAGCAUGGAAUAAUGAAAUAGGACGUUCGAACCUAUUUUGUUGGUUUCUAGGAUUGACGUAAUGAUUAAUAGGGAUAGUUGGGGGCAUUAGUAUUCAAUUGUCAGAGGUGAAAUUCUUGGAUUUAUUGAAGACUGACUACUGCGAAAGCAUUUGCCAAGGAUGUUUUCAUUAAUCAAGAACGAAAGUUAGGGGAUCGAAGACGAUCAGAUACCGUCGUAGUCUUAACCAUAAACUAUGCCGACUAGGGAUCGGAUGAUGUUAAUUUUUUAAUGACUCAUUCGGCGCCUUACG